GAUAUAAUAAAAGUGCUGGAAAGAUCAGCAGACUUGAUCCAUUCCUUCACCAUGUCUUUCUGCUCCCAGGAGAAGGUCAAGCUCUGUAAGUUUCCAUCUAAUGGCUUCUUUUGUCUUCAUUCCAGCAAAGGAGAGGACUGAGUGGCCCAGAUGGAAAGCAGAAAUGCAGACAGAGGCCUGUGGAAGAAGAAUCUUAAAAUAACUAAGCAACUCCAAGAAAACAAGUGAGGAUUUAUUGGAAACAACUGCCUUGAAAGAAGAAAAAAACACUCCAACUUGUUCAAAGUACUUUAUUUUGAUUUCACCUUUGACCCAGAACUUAUCUAGAGAAAAUUUGAGAAGAUAAUACAGAAAGCUCAUAUACUUCAAGCUAUGGGAUGAAUUGUGUUCAACAAAGAAGGAAAGAACCUUUCCUGGCUGAAGUCAGAGGCUGAGGUCAGAGGAAGACGUGACUAUAGAAGAAUGAUCAUAGGAUUGCAAUAUUGCUGGUCUUGAAGACAGAGGAAGGAUGUGGGUUACAUCUAGAAACUGGAAAAGGUGAGGACCACACGUGGAAAAGGGAGGCUGAGAAUGUAAGACAUCAGCAGAGUGUGGAUCUGAUAGCUGUGUUGGGACUAAUGGAAGAUAGAUGGUUUGAGAGGCACCCACACCCUUGGAGCCCAAAACCAUGCCAUGCACAUGUAACCAACCAGCUACAUGUGAAGAUCACAUAAAGGUGUUCUUGUCCUGGCUCUAGCUAAGGUUCCAGCUCUCAGUCAGCAUCAAUUGUGGAAGAUGGGAGUGCAUGAGCUUUUAGAUGAUUUCAGUCCCCUGCCUUUGACACCAAGUGGAACUGAGAUGAUCUUUCCACCGAGCCCUAGUCAAACUGCAGAUUCAUGAGCAAAAUAAACACCAUCAUUACUGAAGCAACAUGGCAUGUGGGGUGAUAUGUUGGGGAAGCCAUAGAUAAUCAGAGAAAGCUCCUUUUCUUUGUGAGCAAUAUUAUUUGCAUAGGAGAGAGACAAAGCUGCAUGGACUGGAAACUUCCAUGACCAAAAAAGAUGUCAUUUUCUAAGGGCUUGAGUGGGAGGUGGCCCUGACAGCAUCUGCAUGAGCCAGAGAUGCACUCACACUUUCAUUAUUGCUUGAGGGUGCCAAGAACUGUAGCAGUAAGAGCAGAAGCAGAAAUGAAGAACACGAAGGAUGCUAUGGAGUGAGAGAAAAGUCCAUGCUUGCAAGAAUCCAAAGACACCCUGUGAGGACGCCCCAAAAUACUCGAGGAAGUGUGUAAGUAGAGCUGGACCUUUCAUUCUCCCAGCUGGGGUAGAACUGGAGCCAUGUGUGCAGGGCCUGCUUCUUCUUCAGGGCUGCCGUGUCCUGGAAAGCCAAGCUUGCACAUGGGUUAUAGCACUCCACUUUCCCAAAGCCCUCAUAUACAUCAUCUGUUUCAGUGCUCGCAUUAACACCUGUGAAGUAGAUAUUAUUCCCAGGUCUCACAGCCCAUAAAUGGAAACUCUGCCGGGAAAUAAGUCCUGCUUUUCUCUCUGUACCAGAGCUGCCCCAGCAAAUUAAAGCUUAUUCUAAAUGUAGGUACCUAGAGCAUUUCUUAAAUUAAACCCAGAGUGAAUUCUGAACCUCAGUCUAAGCCUCUACUGAUUUGUCUAUUCUGUGAGUUCAGAGUUCUGCAUAGUAAAAUCUCAUUAAUUCAAUCUCCAUGAAUGUAGAAUUUGGGGUAGGCAUCAGAAAGCAGUCUCUCCUUAGUCACUUAGCCACACUUACUUUGGCCCAAUGACCCAAAAAUUUCUUGUUAAGGCCUUUCUUUAAAAUGAUCUCUAAGGCAGGCACUUUAUAAAUGAAAAUCACGCCCACCUAAGCCUAGGCUUGCAGGUUUGUCUGCCUCGGGCUUUCAGGUAUGUCUGGUUCUCUUACCCCAUCAAAGGGACAGACUGCUCACAGGUGCUUAAGAUCAUCCUGGCAUGGACCCUUGUUUUAUGCAAAGUGUGUGCCAGUGCUGGAUGUGAAAACACCAGUCGAUUCCCAUUCGCUGGUCUUAGCCAGUCAGAACCUUGCUUCUGAGGCAGGGUGAUACUGUGGUUACUUCUCUCAGAUUUCCCUCUAAUGUUUGGAAGUUCCUAUACACCAUACUGUUUUUGCAUUAGCCACAGAUGUAGGCUGCAAAUGUCUACUAGGCAGCAUGGGCUAACCAAAAUAAGGACACGAUUGACCCAACCUUGUCAUUCUUAGAGACACUGGAAAUCUCCUCAAGUUGGUAAUAACUAGAAUUUUUUAUCAAAUAAUCACUGUUUUACAGAUAAAGAUGGUGCCUCCACAUAAACUGAACAUAUGGCCGGCAAAGAGCACCCCUAUUCCAUCAUCCAAGUUCUCCUUCCUUAGCUGAAGUGAAAACAUUUGAAAUUGAUGAUACAAAGUGCUGGGGAGGGUGGAGAGAAAUGGCCCCUGUCUAAGCUAUAUGGAGAGUGAAUAGCAAGGCAGUUUGCCAAUAUCUAUCACUUGUUAAAUCCACAUACACUUUGCUCCAGGAAUUAGAAUUUCAGGAAUUUAUCUUAAAACUGUUGUAACAACACAUAUAUGAAGAGGUUUAUUGUAGCCUUGCUUACAGUGACUAAGUAUCAGAAACAACCUAGAUAACUGUCAGUGGGAACUGGUUGAAUAAUUUGUUUUAUCAACAUGUAGGAAAAUAUCCAAUCUCUAUAGAGAAUGAGGCAAACUUUUACAAACUUUGUAAGAUGUAUUUCUAAGUAAAAAUAAACAUAAGAACAAACAAAUGAAAAUAACAAUGACAUGAUUUAGAAGAGUGUAUAAAAUAAAAUACAAAAGACACACACAUACACAACUCAGCAUUACAGUGAAAAUUUUGGAAAGAUAAAAUGGAAACCAUUAUAAUGGUUACAGCUAGUAUUCUGGUAAAAAAGAAACAUAUUUUCAAGAUACUGUUCAGUACCAUUUGAAGUUUUUAUUUAUUUCAUUUUUAAACCAUGUAUUACAUUUUUUAAAUUAAAAGAAAGCAAAAGCUAAAAGCAAUAUGAACACAGAAAAGUCAGUAUGAGGUUGUCGAUACGUAAAGUUUGAAAGUGCAGACUUUUCAAAAUGGCAUCACAGGAAAACUAAGGAAUAUAUACAUUUUGGACAUCAAAUUGCAUCCCAGCACGGAGAAUAUUUCUUGAAGAAAGUGGCUGGGUUUGAUUUAAGGACUUGAGGGCUGGGGUAUUUUGCCACAAAACUCUAUUUUUUUCUUUCCCAAAGUGCGUGUGACCCUGGGGUUAACUACAUUCAAUGUUUUAUCAACUCACCCUUUCAUACACUCUGCUAUACUAUUUUGAAACCAAAUUUAGGCUACUUUGCAUCAGCCAGUGAAAAGCCAAUUUCAAAUUGACACAUAUGUUGUUGUUAUCUGCUGGUCAACGGUUCUGUUUUAGCAGGUUGUCAUCUUUGUUUCUGUUUUUGUGAUCUUGUUGCUUUUAUUUUUGAGACUAUUAUUUUGAUUCUGUUGCCCAAAGCUUCUCUAGAAAAAAAUUUCACAGGGAGGGAGCAGCUGCCAAGAUCCACACCUUCUUCCCUCCACACCAACUCACUCCAUCAUCUUCAACAACUGCCAACCUAUUCAUCCUGCUUCAGUUGGAAGAGCUAAACUUUUUGUUUAUUUUUGGAUUCAAGAUAAAAUUUUAUUCAAAAGAUGGAAUCCUGUAAUAAAACACUCUUGGAAAAUAA